UUCAAUGUUCUCGGUUUUUGG
rnacentral:piRNA from 1 species